GAGGAAGCCAUUGGUUGGUCUCAUGUGCUCAAAGCUUUGCAGCAGGCAGGUUCUGGACUCCGUGCCAGGGCCUCUCCCAGGACUGGAGGUGGGUAGGGUUGUUCUGAUUGCUCCACCCAUUCCUCCCUGUGCUUGUGGGGCUCUGUGUAGUAACUGCCCCCUGGGAACUUGUAUACAGCAAAAUGGAAAGCAGAGGCUGAUUUCUUUCUACUUAAUCUGUGUGGGGCCAGGGAGAAAACAAGGGGUUCAGCACGGAGUCUUUCUUCCCUUUGGGGUCUGGCUAGGGAAACAGAUGCACAUGUCAGGCAAGUUCAGGAGACCUUUUAAUAAGCUCUCUGCUCCCUUCCCAUUGGGAUCCCAUCUCACAGCCGCUGGGCUCCUAACUCCAGGUAGCAACCACUCUAUAGCCCCGUCUGGCUCCUUUCCCAAGGAAGAGCAGUAUCCCACCAUUGUCCAGGAGCAGGGCAGCGUCUGUGAACAGGGUCUCACACUGUGUCCCAGACUGGUCUGAAACUAUCUAUGUGUAGCCCAGGCAGAAGUGGCAUACGCAGCAAUUCUCCUGUCUCAGUGUCCUGGCUGCUGAGCUUGCAGGCUGACAUUUUGAUGCAGGAUCUCCCAGUGACCAAUCAGGCUAGACUGACCGGCAAGCAAGCUCUCUGGUGCCUGGAUUAUGUGCCUGGAUUAUGAACGCUCAUUACCACACCUCGCUUUGGUUUCAUGAAGGUUCUGGGGUCACACUCACCCCCACUGCACAGCCACCAUCAGCUGUGUCCUCUGGACAUUCUGACAGGUUGUUAGAACUGUUUCUGAGAAAAUAUGAUUCCCCACCCCAGCUUCAGCAUGGAUCCGGGCACCCCUGACAUUCAGUGGCACUCACUUCUGCUAAUAGGGAUCUUAGAGAUGAUCUUGGAGACGGAAGGCAUCAGUCCAAAAUGGCCACACAGCAAAUACAAACGGUGAGCCAGACAACUUGUCUCGGUGACACCUGAAUCAAGGCAGGGACCUUGUGUCACAAAGGGAGCAGCAGCCAUAAAUAUCCACAGUGGUGUGAAAUACCAGAAUGCUCUCCACAGCCCAUGAAAUGGACAUAAAUGUUUACUUCACACUAUAAUUAUGAAGAGGGGCCAUGGAUCGCCAUAAAACCCUAAAGAUUGAUGCUAAACCAACCACCUCCUUAGUAUCAUAAAUUCUGCCUGCGGUUAUAUGCAGUAUUUAAUAAACAUUAAUGAAAAUUUUGUUUAUAACACAUUUUUUUUUAAAAAAAUGGGGCUGGUGAGAUGGCUCAGUGAGUAAGAGCACCCGACUGCUCUUCCG